UCCGCCUGGCCACCUGCGGUGUCUGUGGCCAGACAUCCCCAGCAGCCGAGAGGGCCACCUCACACACCGCCAGCUCCUUGGCGUGGUCCCACUUGGUUUUCCCAAGCUAUGGAUCUCCUCGGCACUGGCACCCUGCCAGCAAGCACUCCAUACGUUUAUGAAGUAGGAAAUUUCAUAGGAUGUUUUACAGAGGGUCCGGAGGGACACAGCCGUACAUCAUUUUCUUCAACUGUCAGAUGAGCUGCUUGCUAUGAUUUUGUCAAGAAAUAGCCCAUUCUCCUAAGGUGCUCCAAAAAAGUACCUGGCUGGCUGGAAGAAAACUUAGGAGCCACCAAGUCCAUGGCAGAGAUUUCCAUGGCACGACGCCCACGUGGCCCAUCUGAGUGGCCUGGCUGUAAUGAGCUGGUUAUGGUCUCGCGGGGCAUCCGUUUACCUGACAGCGUCUCCAGUUUCUCUUCCUCUGCUCUAGCCCGGUGCUCCGCUGGCCGGCAUCACACUUAGGCUGGCCGUCCCCACCCCGCGCCCCGCACCAUUCCGCGUGGUCGGGACCUGGCCCUGCAGAAGUGCUGAAGCCGCUCCUGGCUUCCCACGCGUUCGCCUCUCCUCAGAGGCAGAGCCCUGUCCCCGUCGUGUCUCCCGUGGAACCUUUGGUCCCCACACCUUCCUGUGACAUCAUGACAUUUAAUUAGUUAUCAUUUUGCUUGUUCUUAAAGAAACGCUGUUUGCACUCACUUGAAAUCACUCCCUGAAUGCCAGCUAGGCUCUUGACAUUUAUUUAGGAAACAGCAUUUUGCAGAACUUUUAUAGCAUGAAUGUGUGAUGAUUAGAGGGAUUCAGGCCCUCUGUAAGUGCAGGCUCAUUCUUGUGUCUCUGUCACACUGAAAUUUCAGCUGUAAUUUGGAUUUACAUUAUGGACCGGGAAAGUGUUAGGAUAUUUUAA